rnacentral:rRNA from 1 species
CCUACGGGUGGCAGCAGUGAGGAAUAUUGGUCAAUGGCCGGAAGGCUGAACCAGCCAUGCCGCGUGAAGGUCAGUGCCCUAUGGGCGUUAAACUUCUUUUGUGCGGGAGCAAUAAUGGUCACGUGUGGCCAGACGAGAGUACCGUACGAAUAAGCAUCGGCUAACUCCGUGCCAGCAGCCGCGGUAAUACGGGGGAUGCAAGCGUUAUCCGGAUUUAUUGGGUGUAAAGGGUGCGUAGGCUGUGAGGUAAGUCAGCGGUGAAAUGCCCCCGCUCAACGGGGUGAAGUGCCAUUGAUACUGGCUGGCUGGAGUGCGGAUGCGGUGGGAGGAAUGUGUGGUGUAGCGGUGAAAUGCAUAGAUAUCACACAGAACACCGAUUGCGAAGGCAUCUCACGAAUCCGCGAUUGACGCUGAUGCACGAAAGCGUGGGUAUCAAACAGGAUUAGAUACCCUGGUAGUC